GAGCGUAUAGCUCAGUGGUAGAGCACAUGCUUAGCAUGCACAAGGUCCUGGGUUCAGUCCCCAGUACCUCCG
rnacentral:tRNA from 1 species